GAUGGAAGAACGCAGCGAAAUGCGAUACGUAAUGUGAAUUGCAAAUUCAGUGAAUCAUCGAGUCUUUGAACGCACAUUGCGCCCCCUGGUAUUCCGGGGGGCAUGCCUGUCCGAGCGUCAUUGCUGCCCUCAAGCACGGCUUGUGUGUUGGGCCCCGUCCUCCGAUCCCGGGGGACGGGCCCGAAAGGCAGCGGCGGCACCGCGUCCGGUCCUCGAGCGUAUGGGGCUUUGUCACCCGCUCUGUAGGCCCGGCCGGCGCUUGCCGAUCAACCCAAAUUUUUAUCCAGGUUGACCUCGGAUCAGGUAGGGAUACCCGCUGAACUUAAGCAUAUCAAUAAGCGGAGGA
rnacentral:misc_RNA from 1 species